CAGCAGCCACGGUAAUACAGAGGGUGCGAGCGUUAAUCGGAUUUACUGGGCGUAAAGCGUGCGUAGGCGGCUAAUUGAGUCGGAUGUGAAAUCCCCGAGCUUAACUUGGGAAUUGCAUUCGAUACUGGUUAGCUAGAGUGUGGGAGAGGAUGGUAGAAUUCCAGGUGUAGCGCUGAAAUGCGUAGAGAUCUGGAGGAAUACCGAUGGCGAAGGCAGCCAUCUGGCCUAACACUGACGCUGAGGUACGAAAGCAUGGGGAGCAAACAGGAUUAGAUACCCCCGUAGUCCCUGUCUCUUAUAC
rnacentral:rRNA from 1 species